UCCAGAAGUGGCUGUACCAACCCGCAAGGGAGGUAAGUCCCCAAGGAGUGCCUGGUGACUGGGGUGAAGUCGUAACAAGGUAGCAGUAGGUGAACCUGCAGAAGGAUCA
rnacentral:rRNA from 1 species